GUGAGGAAUAUUGGGCAAUGGGCGAAAGCCUGACCCAGCCACGCCGCGUGAGUGAUGAAGGCCUUCGGAUUGUAAAGCUCUGUGGGGAGGGAAGAAAAAGCGGGAGAGUAACUGCUCUCGUGUUGACGGUACCUCCUUAGCAAGCACCGGCUAACUCUGUGCCAGCAGCCGCGGUAAUACAGAGGGUGCAAACGUUGCUCGGAAUUACUGGGCGUAAAGCGCGUGUAGGCUGACAUGCAAGUCGGGUGUGAAAUCCCAGGGCUCAACCUUGGAACUGCACUCGAAACUGCACGUCUUGAGUACUGGAGAGGGAAGCGGAAUUCCGGGUGUAGAGGUGAAAUUCGUAGAUAUCCGGAGGAACACCAGUGGCGAAGGCGGCUUCCUGGACAGUAACUGACGCUGAGACGCGAAAGCGUGGGGAGCAAACAGGAUUAGAAACCCGUGUAGUCC
rnacentral:rRNA from 1 species